CCUCCCAAAGUGUUGGGAUUACAGGCGUGAACCACCGCACCUGGCCGGUCUCUGUCUUUUAGAACCUUAUGGUGAUGGAACAUAGAGCAGGCACUUGCUGGCUAUUAGCUGACUGCCCAAAUGAAUGCACUAUCAGACACUGUAGGAAAAAGGAUAAAGAGAACACUUUCAAGUUUCUCUUUCUUCAGUUCUUUGUUACUCAUCUACUCUGUCUUUUAAUGGGUCUCUUCCGCUUCCUCUUUCUGUGCCUCACCAUGGGUCACUGUGUUCAGGGAGACUCAGCUCUUUGGCCUACUAUGUAAAUCUAAAAGCUGUGCAAUGGUUCUAUUUAAAUUGGACCAAUCCGUGCAGCCAGUUUUUACUGAACAUGUAUGUGCCUAGGAAGUCUUAGGAAUGGGUAAGUGCUCCUGCUCCCACACAGUCUACAGACCUGGGUGCAAUGGUGAGAAAGACCUCAGUAAAGCAAAGGAAUUACGAAAGGGAGAGGGGAGGCAGCAGCUGAGGCUGUGGUGGGAGAAGAAUGACAAGAACUGAGCGUGGGCCACAGGCUCUUACCUUUAGCAACUUCAUCAGCUCUUCUAGCUGGACCAUCAGCUCCCGCCUGCUCUCCUGCAGGGCCGACAUCCUCUGCUCCAGUUCAUCCUUCCUUUGCCUAUCCAAGAGGAGAAGCCCAUCAGAUAAAGAAACCCUCAAAGAUGGAUCUAAGGCCAGAAGAAUUCCAAAUAAGGUAUGGACAUACUCUGCCCUCAAGGAAGUGAAGCCUAACUCCCCAUUCCUUAAGAGAAGCCUGUGCAUAGUGACUUCCUUCCAAAGAGUCUGUGUGGAAAGGAAAAGGAAUAACUUUAUGUUGGAGAAACCUGACGAACACUGCCACGGCCAGGUGAUCAAGGUCAGCAUCAACAGUGACGACUCAUGUUGAUAGCAGGAAAACCAAGUUGAAUGAGUUGGAGACUCCAUAGAGAAGAGCUUCGAGAAUAAAAUGGCACUGACUUAGCUGAAGGAUUGAAAAAGGAAGCUGAACUUGCAACAUGUGAGAACAUUUUGUGCAAAGGAGACAACCUGGAGCUCCAGAGGAUCUAUACUCAAUGAAUGGGCUUGGUCCUACAUCCAAAUAUACAUGAGGACAUACAGAGAAAUGUUAAAGUAUAUAGCUAUCAUUUUUAUGGUUCCCUAUUUUAACUUAUUUAAAAAUGCAGUAACAGUAUUUUUAACAUAGGCAAAAGGAGAGAAAAUAAUGUAUUUCCAUAUACUCAAACUAGGUUAAACAGUUACAAAGAUUUUUGACACAUUUGCUUCAUCUAUCCCAUAUUUUCUCUCUCAAGUAUUUUUUUUUUUUUUUGAGACGGAGUCUCGCUCUGUCGCCCAGGCUGGAGUGCAGUGGCGCAAUCUCGGCUCACUGCAAGCUCCGCCUCCCGGGUUCACGCCAUUCUCCUGCCUCAGCCUCUCCGAGUAGCUGGGACUACAGGCGCCCGCCACCAUGCCCGGCUAAUUUUUUGUAUUUUUUAGUAAAGACGGGGUUUCACCGUGGUCUCGAUCUCCUGAUCUCGUGAUCUGCCCGCCUCGGCCUCCCAAAGUGCUGGGAUUACAAGCGUGAGCCACCGCGCACGACCCUCUCUCAAGUAUUUUAAUGCAAAUUCUUGAAAACAAUUCACCCCUACAGACAUCAGCAGACAUCUCCAGAAAUAUUUUAAGUCAGCUUUCGAUUGCUGACCAACCUGUGGUACAGGUAACACGACUUCUACUGGGCACCAAGUCAUUCACCUACAGGCCUACCUUUCCUCUCUCUGCUUCAAUCCAUAAGACCUCAAGGCAAAUAAACUGAUUCCUGGAUCCUAAGUAGUUCCUGGUUCACGUGGAAGGACAUCUCUGAAGCUUCAACUCAGUGAUUUACUUCCCCAAACCUAUUCCUUUCAUCCUUAAAAUGAAACCACCUGUGUAACAACCCGAUUCUUUGAACGUUUUCUGGGAGUCCAGAGCAAGCCUAAACUUUCGGUGAACAUCCUGAGGCAAUCUGUAUUGAACCAGGUUUACUCCAAAAACCCAGUUGGGGCCAUUUCCCAAGGAGCUCAGAACAACCCGAGGAAUGGAUUCAUGGGCUGUCCUAAAGUAGCUUUACUCACAGCUAUCAGAGAGAAUUCACUUGCUUCUAGGCCCUUGGAUUGCUUUAAUUCUUUCAAUUUUCUUUUGUUCAACAACAUAAAAAAUAUAUUCUACUUAUUGCAAUUUUUACAUGUCACAUUCUGAAUAUUAUCCUGUACCAGUGGCUUCUCGGUUGUUAUAUAACUUGUUUGGUAAAGUUAUGCUGACAGCUUUAAUGAGGCGAUGUCAUGUGAUGCAUGAAUUUCCUCUGGUGCUGAAUGUGGGCAUUAGCAACUCAGUAUCGUGUAUUAGGGCAGUGGAGAAUCAGGGUGUAUCUAAUAAAUUCCUUCAUGGAGGUCUCAUGUCAUUAAGUAGAA